rnacentral:lncRNA from 1 species
AGAUCCCUUAAUUGCUUGUUUCUCCCCUCUCACGCAGCUCACCCACCCCCUAGCUGCCUUCCCACCCAGACACAUGAGAAAAUGUCCCGUUAGCCCUUCCAGUCAUGCGAAUGAGGCCACGAUUGAUUCAAAGGCAGUGGGCAAGGAGGAGGCCGCAUGGAGCAGUCAGAAAGAACCAGCCCUUUGUGCUGCAGCAGGGUCCUUGGGGAUACUUUUGAGAGUGUUGUCAUCUAUCCAGAUGAACUGGGUGAUGCUCUUCUGCGCUGGACACUCAGCAUACGCUUCAAGCUCACUUGGUCUAACCUGGGACUUGGACCAACAUUCAACCUGGGGUGAAGCCUCACAACUGGUGGGCUGAGCUCCUGUUACUGCCCCGCUCACUGCCCCCUGUAGUAUGGCAAAUAAACUUGUUUUCUUUCUAUCCAGCUCUA